AGAGUUUGAUCCUGGCUCAGGAUGAACGCUAGCGGCAGGCCUAAUACAUGCAAGUCGAACGAGAUUAAGGGGCUUGCUCCUUAUGAAAGUGGCGCACGGGUGCGUAACGCGUAUGCAACCUACCUCAAUCAGGGGGAUAGCCCGAAGAAAUUCGGAUUAACACCGCAUAAAAACACAGGAUAGCAUUAUCUAAUGUUCAAAUAUUUAUAGGAUUGAGAUGGGCAUGCGUGUCAUUAGCUAGUUGGCGGGGUAACGGCCCACCAAGGCGACGAUGACUAGGGGAUCUGAGAGGAUGACCCCCCACACUGGUACUGAGACACGGACCAGACUCCUACGGGAGGCAGCAGUAAGGAAUAUUGGUCAAUGGAGGCAACUCUGAACCAGCCAUGCCGCGUGCAGGAAGACAGCCCUCUGGGUCGUAAACUGCUUUUAUUCGGGAAUAAACCUUAUUACGUGUAAUAAGCUGAAUGUACCGAAGGAAUAAGGAUCGGCUAACUCCGUGCCAGCAGCCGCGGUAAUACGGAGGAUCCAAGCGUUAUCCGGAUUUAUUGGGUUUAAAGGGUGCGUAGGCGGCUUAUUAAGUCAGGGGUGAAAGACGGUGGCUCAACCAUCGCAGUGCCUUUGAUACUGAUGAGCUUGAAUGAACUAGAGGUAGGCGGAAUGUGACAAGUAGCGGUGAAAUGCAUAGAUAUGUCACAGAACACCGAUUGCGAAGGCAGCUUACUAUGGUUUUAUUGACGCUGAGGCACGAAAGCGUGGGGAUCAAACAGGAUUAGAUACCCUGGUAGUCC
rnacentral:rRNA from 1 species